CCCAUGUAAAUGAUGACUUCUCAAUUUUCAAAACCCUUAUAAUUGCUGAAAGAUCUGAUGAGUUAUUUUCAAAAAGCAUGGCUUCAAAUCAUUAAAUAAUAAAUAGCACCGAAAUUAUCAUACGGCACAUUUAUUGCUAGUGCCAGAAGUCGAAAAAAUAUCUUUUAUUCUACUUUCCACACUCGAUGUGAGAAAUGUCACCU
rnacentral:lncRNA from 1 species